rnacentral:ribozyme from 2 species
ACAGAAAUGCAGCCGUCUGGGGGGCAAGCCAGCCCAACUAGACGACGGUCACAAGCCCGUGAAAAUGCAGAGUGUUGC